rnacentral:rRNA from 1 species
UGGGGAAUAUUGCACAAUGGGCGCAAGCCUGAUGCAGCCAUGCCGCGUGUGUGAAGAAGGCCUUCGGGUUGUAAAGCACUUUCAGCGAGGAGGAAGGGUAGUGUGUUAAUAGCACAUUGCAUUGACGUUACUCGCAGAAGAAGCACCGGCUAACUCCGUGCCAGCAGCCGCGGUAUACGGAGGGUGCAAGCGUUAAUCGGAAUUACUGGGCGUAAAGCGCACGCAGGCGGUUUGUUAAGUCAGAUGUGAAAUCCCCGCGCUUAACGUGGGAACUGCAUUUGAAACUGGCAAGCUAGAGUCUUGUAGAGGGGGGUAGAAUUCCAGGUGUAGCGGUGAAAUGCGUAGAGAUCUGGAGGAAUACCGGUGGCGAAGGCGGCCCCCUGGACAAAGACUGACGCUCAGGUGCGAAAGCGUGGGGAGCAAACA